CGGCGUGCUUACACAUGCAGUCGAACGGUGAAGCCAAGCUUGCUUGGUGGAUCAGUGGCGAACGGGUGAGUAACACGUGAGCAACCUGCCCUGGACUCUGGGAUAAGCGCUGGAAACGGUGUCUAAUACUGGAUAUGAGCUUCUACCGCAUGGUGGGGGUUGGAAAGAUUUUUCGGUCUGGGAUGGGCUCGCGGCCUAUCAGCUUGUUGGUGAGGUAAUGGCUCACCAAGGCGUCGACGGGUAGCCGGCCUGAGAGGGUGACCGGCCACACUGGGACUGAGACACGGCCCAGACUCCUACGGGAGGCAGCAGUGGGGAAUAUUGCACAAUGGGCGGAAGCCUGAUGCAGCAACGCCGCGUGAGGGAUGACGGCCUUCGGGUUGUAAACCUCUUUUAGCAAGGAAGAAGCGAAAGUGACGGUACUUGCAGAAAAAGCGCCGGCUAACUACGUGCCAGCAGCCGCGGUAAUACGUAGGGCGCAAGCGUUAUCCGGAAUUAUUGGGCGUAAAGAGCUCGUAGGCGGUUUGUCGCGUCUGCUGUGAAAUCCCGAGGCUCAACCUCGGGCCUGCA
rnacentral:rRNA from 2 species